rnacentral:lncRNA from 1 species
GGAGAUUUCUUGGCUGCGGGGCGGGGCGGAUAUUUUGCACAAAUUUAAGCUACUGGAUGGACAAUCCCCUGCUGGACCUGGCCCCUCCAGCCCUCCAGCCCUCCAGCCCUCUAGCGUUCCAGUCCUCCAGCCCUCCAGCUAUUGGUGCUGGAGAACAGGGCUAUCUAUCAGCUGUCGUCUGGCAGCUCCUCAGGGCCCUGCAGGUUGAGCUGCUCAGCUGCCACCCUUUUGCCUUUGCUCCCGAGCCACCUCCUGGCUGCUGCUGACUUGUUACUGGUGAGCCUUUUGUCUCCCAACUCCCCGUGGUCAGCUAGGGAUUUUGCUCUUAAAAUCCUUCUUGCCUAAAGAUCGGAAAAGAAUAAAUACAAAAGCAAUAGGAAGCCACAAAGAUUUCAAGAGGGGAAGAGGAAGAAUGUAUUUAUAUGAAAAUGUUUGUGUCGGCUCUUUUUGGGAUGGCAAAGGGUUGGAAGCAGAGGGGAUGCCCAUCACUGGGGAAGGGUGAGUCUCUGCGGGAUGUGAUUGUGAUGGGAAAAUGACAAAUGGGCUGAUUUCAGAAAAAACUUGCAAAGAAUUCCAGGAACUGGAGCAAAAGGAAACGAGCAGAGCAGGAGAAUAUUGCACAGAGCAACAGAAACGAAGAACUGCUUGACUUUGCUAUUCUUAGCAAUAUAAUGAGCCAAGACCAUUCGGUAGGAUUCGUGAGGAAAAAUGCUUUCCUCCUCUGGAGAAAGACUGGAUGUCGUCUGAAUGCAGAAAAACGUACAGUUUUUCAUUUUCUUUCUUCCUUUCUUUCAAGUCUUCUUGUACCAAAUGACUAAUAUGGAAAUGUUUUCCAUGAUUGCACAUCCAUAGCCUAUAUCUGAUUGCUUACCAUCUCAGGUAGGAGGGAGGAGAGGGUGAGGGAGGCGAGAGAAUUUGGAACUCAAGACUUUUUAAAAUGUUAAAAACUGCGUUUUUUUGGUAAUUGGACGAGUAGGGGGCUGGUUCUACCUUCUCCCCAGCAGCUCCAGUUCCGCCUCCGGAAGGAAGGCAAAUGAACCUGGGCGCUCCUGGCUAGUUUCCGCUAGGCUCCUUCUGAGGCAUCAAUGGGCCCAACAGCAGAGCGGGGAACCAGUUGUCUCAGUCACAAAGGGUGGGGCGCUGCUUUCCCAGCUUUGACACUGUUCCUUGGAUGCGAGGACCACAUGGGGGAGGACGUCCUCAGGCUCCAAAGACAAGACUCUUGUUGGCCACUCCGGCCACAUCACAAGCAAAGUGCAGAGUCUCAGGGAUCAAAGGCAACCCAGGAGGGAGUAACCGGGUCAGCUUCUGCUGGAGACCUCCCGACCCUUCAUGGUGGGACCGCUCUGUUAGAAGGGGAAGCUUUUCCUGCGUGAAGCUUAAACUGGCCAAGUUUCCAGCCAUGGUUCCUGGUUCUGUCUUCUGGGACCAAACAGAGGAAGUCUCAUUUGUCUCUCACAUGUCCUUCACUUGUUUUCAGUCAUGUCUAACUUCAUUUUCUUGGCAGAGAUACUGGAGGGGUUUGCCAUUUUCUUCUCCAGCUCAUUUUACAGAUGAGGAAACUGAGGCAGAGUUAAGUGACUUCCCACAUCUAGCAAGUGCUGAGGCCGGAUUUGAAGCCAGGGAGAUGAGUCUUUGGGACUCCAGGCCAAGUGCUCUGUGCCCUAUGGCAAUUCCUCACGGCCUGUCUCUCACAUGAUGUCCUACAGCCCCCUCCUCUCUUCUCUGGGCUAAACACACCCAAAUGUGUCAGUGAAUUCUAGCAGAGCUCGAAGAUGGCUGCUUUCCCUGGGCGCCCCCCAGGUAAUCAAUGUCCUCCCAAAACUGAGGUGCCCAGGACUGACCACAGGCUCCCCAGAAGGUCCAGUUCUGGAAUCUGUGCCUUUCUUCCUGCAGCCCCAGGCUUUCCUGGCUGCCAAAUUGUCUCUUGGCUUCUGUUGGGUCUGUGGGCCACUCGGACCCACAUUCUUUUUGAGAAAAUCGUUGUUAUUCUUGUAGACCCGGACUGCAAAGCACUUCUGCGGGAGUGCCUUUAUCCCUCAUGAAUUUCACCUAUUGGGCCGAGCCCAAGGCUGAAGAGCCCUUUGGAUCCAGGCUCUGCUGCCUGGUUUUAUUGUCUGCUCUCUCUAACCCCAGCUUGGGGUUCGCCCUGGUGCCUUUAGGCGAUCGCGGAGAACAGGGCAAACCUGAGCUCCGACCCCGCCCGGACUAUUAGCAGACAUCCCGCACCCAUCGUCCUGAAUCCCGCCAUUGUCUUGUGGCCCCGCCUGCGUUUUAUCCCCGUCUGCUCCCCGAGAACAGGGAGGGCAGCCUCCCGGGGUACUUUUCUGGGAGCUGCGUACGCUUCCUCCCUCCCCCGCUCACUGAGCUGCGAUCCGGUCCAAAGGAAAUGGCACAAGCUGUCCUGGACCGAGCAGGCCGGUUCUGGGGGAUCUCGGUCCCCUUCCCCCGCUUUGGUCCUAAGGCCAUCCUCGGGGUCCUCUCCAGGGGACCGAUUGCAGGUGGAUAACGAGUCGCUCGUCACACCCGGGAGUGAGCGGGAUGUUCCCAUGAUCACCGCUCCCCAGACUGGGGCCCCUGGGACAUCCCGAGACGGAGGCAGAAAUCCAUCCCCACUAACAGAGGCUUGACAACGCGAGUGAAGUGGGUGGCGUGCCCACCAGGUGGCGCUGUACGCAAGCCAAUUGCCCACCAGUCUCCCCGAGGUCUCUAAUUCAGGCGCCCGAGUCUCUAAUGCGCGUCUAUCGCGCCCUCCCUCUCCCAAGGACUGGGUAAGGAAGAGCCCCCUCACUUCCCUGCUGCCCCGCCCAGAAUUGGAACUUCCAAGGCAAGAAAAGAUCUAGGAUUCAAGGAUGCAAAAACCAGAGAAAUCUCUGCUGCCCCCUCCCCGCCCCGGGGUUGCUAAAUCCGGGCCUCAUCCUUCAAAGUCGGGCCGAGUCAUCAAGCAUGGAUUAAGUACCUACUGUGUGCCGAGCCCCGGGAGACAAGUGGCCCGUCUGAAAUGGGGCGCAGUCUGAUGAGGGAGAGAGCCCACAGAUAGCUACGUCCCCGCAAGGGAGACUCGCGGGGGAGAGCCCAGAAGUGGCUGGGACCGGGAAGGCCUCCCUCCUGCACCAGGUUCCUGGAGGAAGCCAGGGAAGCCCGGAAGUGGAGGUGGGGGGGGUCAAGGGGCCUGGAAUCCGGAGGGUGCAAAGAGCAGUGAGAACCGCAGGAAGCAUUUCUCAAGGGCUUGCCUGCGCCUCGCUUAGUGCUAAGCCCCGAGGUCGUAAAACGGGACUGUCAGCCGGAACCCGAUUUUCCGGAGCUCCUAGGGCAAGAACUCCGCGGGGCAGCGGGGAGAGGAGUUAGGCUUCUCCACCCGAGUCAUUUCCACUGCUAACAAUUCCAUCUGCUUCUGUUGCUGAAGCAUCGGACAGGACCAAGGACGGGGAGGGGGAGGGGGAGGGCUCCCUCCUGAGCCCUCAUUAGCUGUGGCUGCAGAAGCCGCCCCUCCCCAGGGAGUCACCUUUCCAGGGAGCCCUGGGGGGGGGGGGGUGUUGCGCCUCUCCGGGGGCGACCCCUGGCCUCAAGGGCAAUACGAGAUUUCUGUACCUGAUGCAAAAAUCCUGAGCGCUCUCCAACCUGGGCACAAGCUCGGCAUUCCAGCUCAAGCCCCCGUAGACACACCCGUGACCCAUGACAGGGAGAUUACAAGGAGCUCCCCCUUCUCUCGGGCCCCAAGGGCUGUUUUUCAGUUCCUGAAACCUCUCAGGCAGCAGCCUCAGGGCUAAGGGCAUCCCCAGAUAAGGAGCUAAAGGCCGUGCUUGGGCUUGUGCACAACUACUUCUUGUGGCCUUAAGGACGCUCCCCCUUCUUGCUCCUCGUAAGCUAGAAGUUUCACGCAUUAAGGGCCAUGGGAUCCUCGGGGCCGCGCUUGCGUGUCAGUGUUCCUGCGUUACUACAUCUCCCCGGCGCAUUCUUCUUGGGCCUAAUGCCCGUCUGUCAGGGCACAACGCUCCCAGGAGGCUGACUGGAAGCCUGGCCACGCCCAAGGCCCUGGGGCCCCUGUCCUGGGGAGAUGGCAGUUGUCCAGCUUGCCUAGCACCCGCCGCCCCUUGUGUCUCCCUCAGAGCGCCCGGGCACUAGGGCCAGGUCCGGUGAGGGGCAGAUAGUUGAUCCCGGGGGCCGGCGGCUGGUCCUUGUCCAUUGGCGCUGCCUCCUUGGAUGACAGUUUUGAGCCUAAGUUUGCCUGGGGGCAGAUGGCAGAGAUGGCACGGGAUCGGGACGCCAGAAGGGGAACCAGUUUCAAGGGCAGAUGAUGGUGACAGCACGUGGCAUCUGAUGCUGUUGACACACCCCAGCGAAGCGCUUUAUAGAGUCGGGAGUCGGGAGUCAGCAGAGCUGGACCAGCCCGGCACCUUUGCUUCCGUACGCGAAGGUACAUUCUGUGAAUGAAUGCGAAUCCUCCGCCCAGCGUGGAGUCCUUCCAGGAUUGUCCCCGGAGGGAAUCCCCGCCUCCUGUGCCGACGGAUGGGAGGAAAUACUGGCGCGCAGUAAGCACCGACCAGAAGGGAUGGCUUCGGGCAAACCUGGAAGGACUUCCAUGAACUGAUGCUGGCCGGAGUGAGCAGAGGCAGGAGAACAUUGGACACGGCGACAGCAACGUUGUUCGUGAUCAGCUGCGAACGACUUCUCAAUAUGAUAACCCAUCACAGUCCGGGAGGGGCGCCCCAGAAACCCGCUGCCCAUCUCCAGAGAAAGCGCUGAGACUCACCGGGCAGAUCGAAGCUUUGCACUUUUUUCUUUUUUUAAGAACACGGACUGUGGGAGGUCCAAAGGUAUGGGUCCUUGCAUAUGUUCUCACACUUUUGUAUGUAUCGUAUCUAUGAUACAUAUUAUUACGUAUCCCAUACAUAUUAUGUAUAUGUCUAAAAUAUGUAUUUUAUUGGGAAUUUGUGUCUCUUUUCCUUCUUUAUUUUUCCAAAAUGUUAUUUGUUGCAUUGGAUCACUUGCCAGGGGAGGGAGGAGAAAUGAUAAUGAGAAAUUCUUGUAAAAAAAAAAAAGUAUUACAAUUAAUAAAGAAAAAGAAAAAAGAACAUAGUAAAUGCAGAAAUUUGUUUUACAUAACUAUCCAUUUGGCUCGGGGGGAGGGGUUGUGUACCUUUUUUAUUCAUUUUGAGAAUUAAAAUUAAAAAAAGAAAAAAUCCCAUAUACACAAAGACCACAAGAGAAAACUUCAAAAAUAAUAGAUUUCCAUUUCAAGAAAACCUUUGUAAUAAAUACUAGCCAUUUUUUUCCAAGUUGCCCAGCUUUUCAGUGCUUCCUUGUGGCUUUCUUUAGUUCUCUGCUGUUUCCUUUUAGUUUUUUUUCUCCUUCCCCGCCAAGAAGACUACAACUGCCCUCCGACAUAGAAACAGACACACACAUAGCUACCUACAAACAUAAGUCCUGUACGUGCGCGUCCGUAAGACCGUAUUGAGCGUAUUUCCCCUUUUCUUCCGAAGGGGGAUAGCAUCUUUCUUCAAGAUCCAAGUCUUUCCAUGUUUUGUUUUUCGAUCAACAGCCCGUCAUUUUGGAAGCAGGGCAGUAUCCCACGCGACCCCAAUCUAUGUUGAUGGUCUAGGAAAGGUUUUGUACCCCACUUUUCUGCGUUUCUUUCCCCCUUGCUGCUUUUGUUUGACUUACCCAAUAAACAUUUUCGCUUACAAUGAAGUUACUCGUUUUCCAUCUCAGCACUCGGCGCCUUACCUCCGAGGUCCGGCCGGACCGGAUUUCCUUCCUUCACGUUGUUUCUUUAAGAUCCGGACCUUUUGUUCUUCCAAAAGAAUUUUGGUUUUGUUUUUUCUAAGUCGGUAAAAUAAAGUUUUAGAGAUUUACUUAGACGGCAUUGGAUGAAUGGGUAGUUCCGGGAGACAGUUGUUUUCAGGUUGGCUUUAGUCCCCAGGAAUAAGGAGACUCCUCUUCCAAAGGCCCUCGGGGCUGGGAGGAGGAAUCCCUCCCAAGGAGCGGCCAGAAGGAAGGAAGCCCAGAGCCCAAGGGAGCGGCCCCAGCUCGUUAAGCACCCGCAGGAGGGAGCCACCAGCGCCGGCGGGACCCACCGGGGUCCCGGGCGCACCGGGAGGCGCCAGCCCAAGCAGUGCCCCCGUGCCUCCCACCUGCGAGCUGACUUUGCCCCUAGGGGAAAGGACGAAGGGGCGGAGUUACCCUUCCGGGGCCCCGCCCCCGAGGCAGGCCCCACCCACUCCCUCCGGCAACCCCAGUCUAGGCCGCAGUCAACUCUAGUCCGGUUCAGAUUCCUCGGACCCCGCCAUGCCCCGCGGAAGCCGCAGCAGCGCCGCGCCCGCCCCGUCGGCCAGCCGCCUGGCUCCCCCCGCGGCCCCAGCUGCGCCCCCGGCCCCCGCUCCUGCCCCGGCCAGCGGGCAGCCGGGCCUCUUCUCCCAGAUGGCGUCCACGGCGGCGGGGGUGGCCGUCGGCUCGGCCGUGGGCCACGUGGUGGGCAGCGCCCUGACGGGGGCCCUCGGAGGGGGCAGCAGCCCCCGGCCGGAGUCGGCCCCGCGUCCGGAGCAGGCGCCCCAGGCCCCCCUGUCAGCCCCUUCGAGACCCUGCUACUACGAGAUCAAGCAGUUCCUGGACUGCUCAACCACCCAGAAUGACCUGACCCUGUGUGAGGGCUUCAGUGAGGCUCUGAAGCAGUGUCAGCGCAGCCACGGUCUGACCACUCUGAUGUGAAGCUGAGCCCCCCACGCAAGACCAGCCGAGCGGUGGGAGCCGUCCCCUUUGCAAGUGCCGUGGGUGAGGGCACGGGAGAACAGGCCCCGGAACAAUAAAACGCGGCUCCCUGUCCUCCUCUGUGCUCCUGCGCCACCCUCACCCUCUGGGCUGACCUGCUCUUUCAGAGCCCACACUGGGGGGGGGGGCACGCACUCAGUCCAGGGCAUCUGCUGCCCACCCAUCAGCGGCCAUCCUCGGAAAGCAUGAGCUGCUGCUUGGGGGCCUCUGGGGAGCUGGCAACGGCUGGCCCAGCUUCCCCGACGGGCCCUUCGGGUCCCCCUCACGGUCCCCCCAGCCAUCUCUGCCCUUCCUGUGCACCCCCUUUGGGGCUCCCCGGCAGAGCAGGGUGGCCUGGGGAGGCAUCUGGGCUCUGGGUCC